rnacentral:lncRNA from 1 species
CUCGUUUUGCUAGCCUGUCAUCCAGACCCUGGCUCAACCGAGACUCAUCUCACACUUCCGGCUGAUAAUUGGCUCUGAUACCAUCUGUGACGCCCCGACUUCCCCGGGGGGGUCACCCAUCCUAGGACUACUCCCGUCCUAGCACGUUUAACUCUCUUAACCUCUUGGGUCUAGCCACCACCUAAAAUGCUUAAGCCGGGUUAAGAGUUUAGCCCUAUUAUAUCUUAUAUAUAGAACUAUCUGGGGUCUGACACGAGCCAGCUAAUCUCAACUCAUGUUCAGCUUAUUUAUUAAAUAAGCAAUUGAUUUCGAAUUCAUUUUAAGUCGAAAACAAGUUGAUUCAUGAACAAUAAGUUAGAUUGCUAGGCAACAUCCUAUAUAAGGAUAAGAU